ensembl:lncRNA
CCACUCUUACAGCCUGGCUGCCCUGGGGAGGUCGAGGCGGGAGGUGAUGGAUGGAAGGAAGAAGGACAUGACUGGGGCAGGAGAACGGGGGGGUGUGGGGGGGGGCGGGGGCCAGAAGCGAACUGGAUCAGAGUAGGGGCUGGGGGCAGAGGGAGGAAGAGCCAGAUUCUAAAAACCAGGACGGGAAAUUCCCUCCGCGCUUUCACUGCCGAGAGCCCAGGUUCAAUCCCUGGUCGGAAAAACUAGAUCCCAGAAGCCCCGUGCGGCCAAAAUAAAAUAAAAAAUAAAUAAAUAACCAGGAGGAAAGUGCCUCGGUCAGCCUGCUUUCCGUGAUGCCAGAAAAUGGGCUUGACGGCUCACGCACCACCACCAGGGGGCAGCCGGGAAUUCAGGUUUGAAACUCCCAGCGGCUUCUCCCCCAGGGCGGCGAAAACUUCACCUUGAUACCGAGGUGUGGAGAGGUUGAAGUUGUCUUCCGGGCCCCAGCUGAGAGCCCCUCUGCUUUCCUGCUCCACCCCCCAACACACACACCGAUCCUGGCCUCUUGGUUCCCUGGAGCCCCUACCCCACCAGCAAGAGAUUAUGUCAACACAGUCCGGCUGAUUCUGUCCAGGACAAUAUUUGCCCUCAGGAUCUGGGAAGGGCAAAGGAAGAGACUGGAAGUGGAGACUCUGAGGAGGUGUGUGAUUCAGUGGUGACUGUGACUGGGAGACCACAUGAGGCUGUGGGUUCGUGCAUGGUGGUAGGAGGAUAGUGUGCAAUCCUGUGCACAACUGUGCGACUGCGGGUGGCUGUAUACGACUUGUGAGUGCAAGUGAGGCUGUGAUGGCCAGUUGUAUGUCUUAGCACUGGGCGUGACUGAGGAUGACAAUGUAACAUCCAGAGCUCAUGGGAGUGUGUGCCUUAGAGACACUUGAAGAACAUGUAUUGUUGGAAUGUGACUGUGGACUCUGUUGGUAAUUAUGUGAAGUGUGUGAGACGUUGUGUGAGCACAUUAAUGAGUGGAAUUGUGUAACAUUGUAUAUAUAAUUUUCAGACUGUCAUUAAAGGAUUGUAUGACAAUCACCUAUAACUGUUUGCCUUUAUGUCAUCAACAGCCUCCGCUCUGUGCCCCAACUUGUGCUGAGUGACCCUGGGGACCCAGUGGUGACAGAUGCCUUCCCUGUCCUCAUGGGGGCACUCAGGCCAGUUGGGGGAGACAGUAUUUGUGAUGUGAUUUAAUGAUGGUGUGAAUGUAUGCGUGGUGGACACAGUAUCAUGGGAACUGUAGGAAGCUGUGAUUGUGUUGCUGUGUGAGUGCAAGAGUCCAUGCCCAGAGUGCGUGGCUGUGUGUCACUGUAUCACAAAUGACUGUCAACCUGUGGGGGAGAACCUUUGGCUCACGGGGUGUGACGCUGGACUGUGGGACUAUGAAUGAAUAUGAAGAACAGGUUCAGUGAGGUGCAGUAUAUAAGACUCUGUGCCUCCCGGCGGCUCAGUGUAUGGGAUCGUGUGUGACAUUGUGUGCAUGGCCUCGCGUGUGGUGGCUGGAUGGGACAAGUGGGACAACGUGAGAGGCUGUGCGCGCUGGAAGAGGGGGUCCUCAGGAUGCUGACUCUGUGACUGUGCUCCCCCACGCGACCCUGAGUGGCUGUGAUACUCACAGAUGACUGGCCCCCUGUGCCAGGUCUCUGCCCCAGCUCCCCGCUCCUGUUCCUUGGCCCGCCCUGGCCCCGCCCCCUACCCCUACCCCAGGCUGUCACCUCCCGCGGAGCCCAGGCGAGGCCGUGGAGGCG